rnacentral:rRNA from 1 species
GCGAGUCAUUGUAGUAAUACAAGGCAGACGGCUCAGUAACGCGUAGUCAACCUAACCUAUGGACGGGAAUAACCUCGGGAAACUGAGAAUAAUGCCCGAUAGAACACUAUGCCUGGAAUGGUUUGUGUUCCAAAUGAUUUAUCGCCGUAGGAUGGGACUGCGGCCUAUCAGUUUGUAGGUGAGGUAAUGGCCCACCAAGACUAUUACAGGUACGGGCUCUGAGAGGAGUAGCCCGGAGAUGGGUACUGAGACACGGACCCAGGCCCUAUGGGGCGCAGCAGGCGAGAAAACUUUGCAAUGUGCGAAAGCACGACAAGGUUAAUCCGAGUGGUUUCUGCUAAAGGAACCUUUUGACAGUCCUAGAAACACUGUUGAAUAAGGGGUGGGCAAGUUCUGGUGUCAGCCGCCGCGGUAAAACCAGCACCUCAAGUGGUCAGGAUGAUUAUUGGGCCUAAAGCAUCCGUAGCCUGCUCUGUAAGUUUUCGGUUAAAUCUGUAUGCUCAACAUACAGGCUGCCGGGAAUACUGCAGAGCUAGGGAGUGGGAGAGGUAGACGGUACUCGGUAGGAAGGGGUAAAAUCCUUUGAUCUAUUGAUGACCACCUGUGGCGAAGGCGGUCUACCAGAACGCGUCCGACGGUGAGGGAUGAAAGCUGGGGGAGCAAACCGGAUUAGAUACCCGGGUAGUCCCAGCUGUAAACCAUGCAAACUCAGUGAUGCAUUGGCUUGUGGCCAAUGCAGUGCUGCAGGGAAGCCGUUAAGUUUGCCGCCUGGGAAGUACGUACGCAAGUAUGAAACUUAAAGGAAUUGGCGGGGGAGCACCACAAGGGUGAAGCCUGCGGUUCAAUUGGAGUCAACGCCGGAAAUCAC